GCGCUGCCAAAGGAGGCCACGGAGGAGCAGGAGGUGAGUGGGGAGCGGGCGGAUCCCGGGACUCCGCUACCCUGCCCACCUGUUCCCGGGCCCGCCGCCCCAGGACCGCCGCGCUCACCCCGCUCCGUCCGCAGCUCGCACCUGGCGUCUGCUGACCUUCGUGCUGGCGCUGCCCAGCGUGGCCCUCUGCACCUUCAACUCCUAUCUCCACUCGGGCCACCGCCCGCGCCCCGAGUUCCGUCCCUACCAACACCUCCGCAUCCGCACCAAGCCCUACCCCUGGGGGGACGGCAACCACACUCUGUUCCACAAUAGCCACGUGAACCCUCUGCCCACGGGCUACGAACACCCCU
rnacentral:sRNA from 1 species